rnacentral:rRNA from 1 species
UGGGGAAUAUUGGACAAUGGGCGCAAGCCUGAUCCAGCCAUGCCGCGUGAGUGAUGAAGGCCCUAGGGUUGUAAAGCUCUUUCAACGGUGAAGAUAAUGACGGUAACCGUAGAAGAAGCCCCGGCUAACUUCGUGCCAGCAGCCGCGGUAAUACGAAGGGGGCUAGCGUUGUUCGGAAUUACUGGGCGUAAAGCGCGCGUAGGCGGAUUGAUCAGUCAGGGGUGAAAUCCCGGGGCUCAACCCCGGAACUGCCUUUGAUACUGUCAAUCUAGAGGUCGAGAGAGGUGAGUGGAAUUCCGAGUGUAGAGGUGAAAUUCGUAGAUAUUCGGAGGAACACCAGUGGCGAAGGCGCUCUACUGGACCUGUACUGACACUAAGGGACGAAAGCUAGGGGAGCGAAAGGGAUUAGAUACCCGCGUAGUCC